UUUAAUGUUACAGUUUGUAUCAUGGUUAAUUUAAACAUUCGUUCAGUGAUAAAGAUCUAGGCCAUUUAUCCUUCAGCUGUCAGGGAGCAAGUUUGGACCAAUGAUGAGUAUCCUGGGGUGUCUGAAUCAAUGAUUUUGAUUAAACCCUAUAACUCUGAGGUCAGAAACCUAGUUAAUGCCUAUGUGGUUAAUCAGCUUCCAGCAGAGAAUAACCGUAAGACAGCAGACUUUACUCAUUUUCUAAGAAACAACAUCUUGGCAGUUAGUUCUGUGUGUAAAGACCGUAGACAGAAAUAAUGAACACAAAGCCGAUUUAAUCAUUCUCUAAUCCGGAAGACCUGGCUGAUAAUUCUGGGACUAAGAAGCGUAAAAACUUAUAUAUAGUGAACUACAGCUUGGCUGACUCAGUCAUUAGCC